UUAACCGGAUUAGAUACCCUGGUAGUCCAUGCCGUAAACGUUGGGCACUAGGUGUGGGGGACAUUCCACGUUUUCCGCGCCGUAGCUAACGCAUUAAGUGCCCCGCCUGGGGAGUACGGCCGCAAGGCUAAAACUCAAAGAAAUUGACGGGGGCCCGCACAAGCGGCGGAGCAUGCGGAUCAAUUCGAUGCAACGCGAAGAACCUUACCAAGGCUUGACAUGAACCGGAAAGGCGUAGAAAUACGUCCCCCACUUGUGGUCGGUUUACAGGUGGUGCAUGGUUGUCGUCAGCUCGUGUCGUGAGAUGUUGGGUUAAGUCCCGCAACGAGCGCAACCCUCGUUCUAUGUUGCCAGCACGUGAUGGUGGGGACUCAUAGGAGACUGCCGGGGUCAACUCGGAGGAAGGUGGGGAUGACG
rnacentral:rRNA from 1 species